GCCGGGCGGGCCCACUGUGGAGCCGGCGACGACCACGCCGGGCGGGCCCACUGUGGAGCCGGCGACGACCACGCCGGGCGGGCCCACUGUGGAGCCGGCGACGACCACGCCGGGCGGGCCCACUGUGGAGCCGGCGACGCCGCCGAGCUGGGCCAAAAAGGGCAUCUGGUGGCAUCUCAUCAAGAGGCCAUAAAAAGAUUUAAUGAAAAGGCUCACUGACAAUAGCCUAUGUUUCCAACAAAUCCCUGUAUUGGCUGUUUAAACCAGGAGAGCUUUCUGAGUUUAGCCAAUUGCAUCAAUUCAGCUCAAAGGGUUGCUGCUGCCAGGAUACUAACCACAAAGAUGCAGUUUCAGGUGCUGUUAAAUCCUUGUCUUGUCAGCUCAUUUUGAUCAGCUUGUGUUUUAGAAGCUAAAUGUUGACUCGUUUCAGCUGGCAAGUUUCCAGUCUGCCCUGUCACGUUUAUAGGCUACAAUUUGUAGUAGGCCUUUUGCUGCUGCUUCACUACGGUCUGCAACACUUACAAUUACUGAAAGCAGCCUCUCAAAGUAAACUGUUAAAUGCAUGAAUGCAAUACACACCGAAAUCACAUGCGCUGAUAAAGAAAUGACUGUGCAGUUGCAGGUAAAACUAGUUCUGGUGACUGCCCAGUCUACAUGCGGGUUCCAAAACAUCCAAGCAGAUUCACACAUCAAAUUCUUAUUGUGACCUGACAAGUGCAAACAGCAGCUAAUGUCAUUAUUGGGCUAUUACAAUGAGCAUCCUCAUAGUACCCAUUAUGUGCGCAUGUCAUUCCAAAAGUAUAGUCCUGUGACCGCAGGUGGAGCUGUAGGCUACAUUUCAGACCAGUUUGGCUGUUCUUGCACUAUUAAAAAUGUUUUCCCUUUUGCUGAAAUUCUGUUAUAAAGGCAAAAGGUACACAACCAAGGCUAAGAGGAAUUGAGGAGGUAGGCUACAAUCUGAGAAGAGACCUCUACUUUUGAAUCUGUGGGAGGUCCUUUAGGCCUUUCUCAGUUUGUACCUCCUCAAUUUCUCUCCCCUCUUGAGAUGCAUUUUAGGAAUUAAUGUGUUUUGAGCAUUAAUAGAAU